CAGAGUUAUCUAACUCCCAAACCCAUGUGAACUUACCUUUGUUGCCUCGGCAGUCUGGGCGAGCCUACCCUGUAGCUGCUUACCCUGUACCGACUGCCGGUGGACUACCAAACUCUUGUUAUUUUUAAGUAAUCUGAGCGUCUUAUUUUAAUAAGUCA
rnacentral:misc_RNA from 1 species